UACGUAGGGUGCGAGCGUUAUUCGGAAUUACUGGGCGUAAAGCGUGCGAAGGCGGUUUUGUAAGCCAGAUGGGAAAUCCCCGGGCUUAACCUGGGAAUGGCGUUUGAAACUACGGAGCUGGAGUGUGGCAGAGGGAGGUAGAAUUCCACGUGUAGCGGUGAAAUGCGUAGAUAUGUGGAGGAAUACCGAUGGCGAAGGCAGCCUCCUGGGCCAACACUGACGCUCAUGCACGAAAGCGUGGGGAGCAAACAGG
rnacentral:rRNA from 1 species